GGGUUGUGAGGUUAAGCGAAUAAGCGUACACGGUGGAUGCCUAGGCAAUCAGAGGCGAUGAAGGACGUGCUAAUCUGCGAUAAGCGUCGGUAAGGUGAUAUGAACCGUUAUACCCGACGAUUUCCGAAUGGGGAAACCCAAUAUCCAAUGGAUAUUAUCAUUAACUGAAUACAUAGGUUAAUGAAGCGAACCGGGAGAACUGAAACAUCUCAGUACCCCGAGGAAAAGAAAUCAACCGAGAUUCCCCUAGUAGCGGCGAGCGAACGGGGAACAGCCCAGAGUCUUAAUCAAUAGCAGCAUCAGGAGAACGGUCUGGAAAGUCCGGCAGUAAAGGGUGAUAGCCCCGUAUCCGAAGAUGCUGUUAUUGUGAACUCGACGAGUAGGGCGGGACACGUGUUAUCCUGUCUGAAUAUGGGGGGACCAUCCUCCAAGGCUAAAUACUCCUGAUUGACCGAUAGUGAACCAGUACCGUGAGGGAAAGGCGAAAAGAACCCCGGCGAGGGGAGUGAAAAAGAACCUGAAACCGUGUACGUACAAGCAGUAGGAGCCUCUUUAUGGGGUGACUGCGUACCUUUUGUAUAAUGGGUCAGCGACUUAUAUUCUGUAGCGAGGUUAACCGUAUAGGGGAGCCGUAGGGAAACCGAGUCUUAACUGGGCGAAUGAGUUGCAGGGUAUAGACCCGAAACCCGGUGAUCUAUCCAUGGGCAGGUUGAAGGUUGGGUAACACUAACUGGAGGACCGAACCGACUAAUGUUGAAAAAUUAGCGGAUGACUUGUGGAUGGGGGUGAAAGGCCAAUCAAACCGGGAGAUAGCUGGUUCUCCCCGAAAGCUAUUUAGGUAGCGCCUCGUGAAUUCAUCUUCGGGGGUAGAGCACUGUUUCGACUAGGGGGUCAUCCCGACUUACCAACUCGAUGCAAACUGCGAAUACCGAAGAAUGUUAUCACGGGAGACACACGGCGGGUGCUAACGUCCGUCGUGAAGAGGGAAACAACCCAGACCGCCAGCUAAGGUCCCAAAGUCAUGGUUAAGUGGGAAACGAAGUGGGAAGGCUCAGACAGCCAGGAUGUUGGCUUAGAAGCAGCCAUCAUUUAAAGAAAGCGUAAUAGCUCACUGGUCGAGUCGGCCCGCGCGGAAGAUGUAACGGGGCUAAACCAUGCACCGAAGCUGCGGCAGCAACACUAAGUGUUGUUGGGUAGGGGAGCGUUCUGUAAGCCUGCGAAGGUGUACUGUGAGGUAUGCUGGAGGUAUCAGAAGUGCGAAUGCUGACAUAAGUAACGAUAAUGCGGGUGAAAAACCCGCACGCCGGAAGACCAAGGGUUCCUGUCCAACGUUAAUCGGGGCAGGGUGAGUCGACCCCUAAGGCGAGGCUGAAAAGCGUAGUCGAUGGGAAACGGGUUAAUAUUCCCGUACUGGUGGUAACUGCGAUGGGGGAACGGAGAAGGCUAGGUUGUCCGGGCGACGGUCGUCCCGGUUCAAGCAUGUAGGCAGAGUGAUUAGGCAAAUCCGGUCACUUAAUGCUGAGGUGUGAUGACGAACCACUAAGGUGGUGAAGCAAUUGAUGCCCUGCUUCCAGGAAAAGCCUCUAAGCUUCAGGUUACCAACAAUCGUACCCCAAACCGACACAGGUGGUCAGGUAGAGAAUACUCAGGCGCUUGAGAGAACUCGGGUGAAGGAACUAGGCAAAAUGGUGCCGUAACUUCGGGAGAAGGCACGCUGGCGGUAAGUGAAGUCCCUUGCGGACGGAGCCGAAGCCAGUCGAAGAUACCAGCUGGCUGCAACUGUUUAUUAAAAACACAGCACUGUGCAAACACGAAAGUGGACGUAUACGGUGUGACGCCUGCCCGGUGCUGGAAGGUUAAUUGAUGGGGUUAUCCUUAGGGAGAAGCUCUUGAUCGAAGCCCCAGUAAACGGCGGCCGUAACUAUAACGGUCCUAAGGUAGCGAAAUUCCUUGUCGGGUAAGUUCCGACCUGCACGAAUGGCGUAAUGAUGGCCAGGCUGUCUCCACCCGAGACUCAGUGAAAUUGAACUCGCUGUGAAGAUGCAGUGUACCCGCGGCAAGACGGAAAGACCCCGUGAACCUUUACUAUAGCUUGACACUGAACAUUGAGCCUUGAUGUGUAGGAUAGGUGGGAGACUAUGAAGUGUGGACGCCAGUCUGCAUGGAGUCAACCUUGAAAUACCACCCUUUAACGUUUGAUGUUCUAACCUAGGUCCAUAAUCUGGAUCGGGGACCGUGUCUGGUGGGUAGUUUGACUGGGGCGGUCUCCUCCUAAAGAGUAACGGAGGAGCACGAAGGUUGGCUAAGCAUGGUCGGACAUCAUGCGGUUAGUGCAAAGGCAUAAGCCAGCUUGACUGUGAGAGUGACGGCUCGAGCAGGUACGAAAGUAGGUCUUAGUGAUCCGGUGGUUCUGAAUGGAAGGGCCAUCGCUCAACGGAUAAAAGGUACUCCGGGGAUAACAGGCUGAUACCGCCCAAGAGUUCAUAUCGACGGCGGUGUUUGGCACCUCGAUGUCGGCUCAUCACAUCCUGGGGCUGAAGUAGGUCCCAAGGGUAUGGCUGUUCGCCAUUUAAAGUGGUACGCGAGCUGGGUUUAGAACGUCGUGAGACAGUUCGGUCCCUAUCUGCCGUGGGCGUUGGAAGAUUGAGAGGGGUUGCUCCUAGUACGAGAGGACCGGAGUGAACGCACCACUGGUGUUCGGGUUGUCAUGCCAAUGGCAUUGCCCGGUAGCUAAGUGCGGAAGAGAUAACCGCUGAAAGCAUCUAAGCGGGAAACUUGCCUCGAGAUGAGUCUUCCCUGUCACCUAGAGUGACCUAAAGGAACGUUUAAGACUAAGACGUUGAUAGGCUGGGUGUGUAAGCGUAGCGAUACGUUGAGCUAACCAGUACUAAUGAACCGUGAGGCUUAACCUGACAACACCGAAGGUGUUU
rnacentral:rRNA from 1 species